AUAUUUUUGGAAGAAACAUUUGUUUUUCAAAAUAAAUUAUUUUCAGACUUGGCUAACCACAAGUCUGAAAUGUGCACAAAACUCCCUCAACCAUACAUAUAGUAAAAUAGAGGUAAAGAGAACAACAGAUAAUGCUGUGAAUAAAUUCUUCCAAGUCCAUGAAACAAAUUGGAGUCAAAUUUGAAUAAUGCAAUCAGUCUACAUGAAUAUUUUAGGCCACUUGGUUUAAUUCAGCAAAUUUCAUUGAACACCUGUUUAUGCCAGAUACAGUAUUAAGUAAUGAGGCUAUAGAGAGGAGCAAAACACUAUUUCUCAAAACACUAUUUCUAUCCUCUAGGAUUGUAAAUACUGUAGUUGGAAUAAGAUGGAGCCGAGAGAGGAACCAGCAUUACUGAAAACCUGAAUACAUCAUUUUAUGUGAGUCUCGCAAUCUCUCUGUGAGUUAGUUGUUGUUAUCCCCAUUUUUUAGAUGAGAGAACUGAGAUUUAGAGAGAUUAAGUAAAGCACCAUGAGACAAACAAUUCACAAAAAGCAGAGAUCUAAUUUUUCCCCCGUUCAUCUGAUUCCAAAGUCCACACUCUGUCUCCAAUCUUACCAUGAUAUAUUGAAUUAUACUACACUGUAUUACACAAUAAAAAAUAGGCAUGGGAACAAAUAAUUACAACCAACUACAAUACAGGUGAUACGAAAAAUAUUUGCCACAUAGAUGAAUGUCAAAGAAGAAGCCAUGGUCAACUUUGUUCUUCAGAAUAGGCUCAGAAAAAUUUAAAUAGGGUGGUUAAUUCUGCAGUAGAAUUUGAUAUUAGAUAGAAAUUUUACAAGUUGACAAAGGAGGAAAAACUACUCAGUGGAAACAUGCAAAAUACUUUCUUUACCCAUGUCAGGCCUCUGAGCCCAAGCUAAGCCAUCAUAUCCCCUGUGACCUGCAUGUACACAUCCGGAUGGCCGAUUCCUGCCUUAAUUGAUGACAUUCCACCACAAAAGAAGUGAAAAUGGACUGUUCCUGCCUUAACGGAUGGCAUUAUCUUGUGAAAUUCCUUCUCCUGGCUCAAAAGCUCCCCUACUGAGCACCUUGUGACCCCCACUCCUGCCCGCCAGAGAACAACCCCCCUUUUCCUUUACCUACCCAAAUCCUAUAAAACGGCCCCACCCCUAUCUCCCUUUGCUGACUCUCUUUUCGGACUCAGCCCGCCUGCACCCAGGUGAAAUAAAUAGCCAUGUUGCUCACACAAAGCCUGUUUGGUGGUCUCUUCACACAGAUGCACAUGAAAUUUGGUGCCGUGACUCGGAUCGAGGGACCUCCCUUGGGAGAUCAAUCCCCUGUCCUCCUGCUAUUUGUUCCAUGAGAAAGAUCCACCUACGACCUCAGGUCCUCAGACCAACCAGCCCAAGAAACAUCUCACCAAUUUCAAAUCCAGUAAGUGGCCUCUUUUUCCUCUCUUCUCCAACCUCUCUCACUGUCCCUCAACCACUUUCACCUUUCCACUCUUCAAUCUCUCCCUUCUUUUAAUUUCAAUUCCUUUCAUUUUCUGAUAGAGACAAAGGAGACACGUUUUAUCUGUGGACCCAAAACUCUGGCACUGGUCACGGACUAGGGAAGGCAGCCUUCCCUUGGUGUUUAAUCAUUGCAGGGACACCUCUCUGAUUAUUCAUCCAGGUUUCAGAGGUGUCAGACCACGCAGGGACGCCUACCUUGGUCCUUCACCCUUAGCAGCAAGUCCCACUUUUCUGGGGUAGGGGCAAGUACCCCAACCCCUUCUCUCCGUGUCUCUACCCCUUCUGCGCCUUUCUGGGGGGCAAGGAACCCCCAACCCCUUCUCCUUCACUCUUAGUGGCAAGUCCCGCUUUUCUAGAGGAGGGGCAAGUGCCCCAAGCUCAUAUCUCUGCGCCCCAAUCCCUUAUUUCCGCACCCCAACCUCUUAUAUCUCUGCGCCGCAAUCCCUUAUUUCUGUGCACCGACCUCUUAUCUCUGUGCCCCAAUCCCUCAUUUCCGUGCCCCAACCUCUUAUAUCUCUGUGCCCCGAUCCCUUAUUUCCAUGCCCCAACCUCUUAUAUCUCUGCACCCUGAUCCCUUAUUUCCACACCCCAACCUCGUAUCUCUGCACCCCAACCCCUUUCCCGCUUUUCUGGAGGGUAAGAACCCCCGAACCGCUUCCCUCCAUGUCUCUACUCUCCCUUUUCCUUAAACUUGCCUCUUUCACUAUGGGCAACAUUCCACCCUCCAUUCCCCCUUCUUCUCCCUUAGCCUGUGUUCUUAAGAACUUAAAACCUCUUCAACUCUCACCUGACCUAAAAUCUAAGCACUUUAUUUUCUUCUGCAAUGCCGCUUGACCCCAAUACAAACUUGACAGUAGUUCCAAAUAGCCAGAAAACAGCACUUUCAAUUUUUCCACCCUGCAAGAUCUAAAUAAUUCUUGUCGUAAAAUGGGCAAACGGUCUGAGAUGCCUGACGUCCAGGCAUUCUUUUACACAUCGGUCCCUCCCUAGUCUCUGUGCCCAGCGCAACUCAUCCCAAAUCUUCCUUCUUUCCCUCCCACCUGUCCCCUCAGUCCCAACCCCAAGUGUCACUGAGUCUUUCUAAUCUUCCUUUUCUACAGACCCAUCUGACCUCUCCCCUCCUCCCCAGGCUGCUCCUCGCCAGGCCGAGCUAGGUCCCAAUUCUUCCUCAGCCUCCGCUCCUCCACCCUAUAAUCCUUUUAUCACCUCCCCUCCUCACUCCCGGUCCAGCUUGCAGUUUCGUUCCGUGACUAGCCCUCCCCCACCUGCCCAGCAAUUUACUCUUAAGAAGGUGGCUGGAGCUAAAGGCAUAGUCAAGGUUAAUGCUCCUUUUUCUUUAUCCCAAAUCGGAUAGCAUUUAGGCUCUUUUUCAUCAAAUAUAAAAAUCCAGCCCAGUUCAUGACUCGUUUGGCAGCAACCCUGAGACACUUUACAGCCCUAGACCCUAAAAGUUCAAAAGGCCGUCUUAUUCUCAAAAUACAUUUUAUUACCAAUCUGCUCCCAACAUUAAAUAAAACUCCAAAAAUUAAAUUCCGGCCCUCAAACCCCACAACAGGAUUUAAUUAACCUCGCCUUCAAGGUGUACAAUAAUAGAAAAAAGUUGCAAUUCCUUGCCUCCACUGUGAGACAAACCCCAGCCACAUCUCCAGCACACAAGAACUUCCAAAUGCCUGAACCACAGUGGCCAGGCGUUCCUCCAGAACCUCCUCCCCCAGGAGCUUGCUACAAGUGCCAGAAAUCUGGCCACCAGGCCAAGGAAUGCCUGCAGCCCAGGAUUCCUCCUAAGCCGCGUCCCAUCUGUGCGGGACCCCACUGGAAAUCGGACUGUUCAACUCACCUGGCAGCCACUCCCAGAGCCCCUGGAACUCUGGCCUAAGGCUCUCUGACUCCUUCCCAGAUCUUCUUGGCUUAGCGGCUGAAGACUGACACUGCCCGAUCACCUCGGAAGCCCCCUAGACCAUCACGGAUGCUGAGCUUCGGGUAACUCGCACAGUGGAAGACCUGUUCCUUCUACCCAAGAAAGAACAGUUAAUGAAGCCACAUGAGCAUCCCUCCCUGCCAACAGGCAUCUGGCUCUGUGGCCUGGGCUGGAGUGCAAUGACACAAUCUCGACUCACCACAACCUCCGCCUCCCGGGUUCAAGCGAUUCUCCUGCCUCAGCCUCCCGAGUAGCUGGGAUUACAGGUGCCUGCCACCACGCCCAGCUAAUUUAUUGUAGUUUUAGUAGAGAUGGGGUUUCACUAUGUUGGCCAGACUGGUCUUAAACUCCUGACCGCAUGACCUGCCCACCUCAGCCUCCCAAAGUGCUGGGAUUAUAGGCGUGAGACACCACACCCAGCCAGCCCUAUGUUAUUUCUAGGAAAAGCCUAGCCCUGGGAGGGGCAGUCUCUCCCUACUCAGCGAGAAAUGCCAGGGUAUCAAAAGUACAGAAAAUAAGAAAAUAUAGUUAAUAUAAUCUGCCCUGUGAUGAGCAGAUGUCAAAUACAGAAUCUAAGAAAACAUGGAGCAAAAGACAUGGCUUCUUCGUGGCUGCCUAGUAAUCCAUCACAAAUUACACAAAAAUGUAUAAAAAUGUAUUCCACAAAUGACACAGUAGUUCUGCUUUUAUUGGAUAGUUAUCUCUUUGUAGAUGUUUGAUAUUCUAAAUAAUUCCUCAAUGAAUGGACAGAGAGGAAAAAAGAUAAAAAAGAGAAUUCAUGAAUUUACUUUAACUGUUAUAUAUAAAUAUGUGUAAUAUGUAUAAUUAUGUAUGAUACAAUAUAUAAUAUGUAUGUAAAAUAUAACAUAAUCAUAUGAUUAUGAUACAACUGAAUACAGAAAUGAUUAUACCAUUAUGAUGAUAUAUAAUAUUUGUUUGCUUUUGUCUACCUCAGGAAGUUAGUAAAGCAAGCUUAGAUCUGUAUUUACUGACUUCUAGAAAUGCCCACAAUAUAUUGACAUGUGAAAGAAGCAUACUACAGAAUAAUGCAUGUAUUUAAAGUUCAUUUCAGCACUAACAAUCAACCAACCAAACCCCUUUAGAUAAUAUGCUAUAUAUAUUCAUUUCAACAAGGAGAUAGGUAUGAAGGUACAUACCAGACCACUAAAAUUGGUUUCCACUGAGGAAUGCGAAGCAUAGGUAGAAGGAAGGCAGGGAGAGAUAAUUAACUUUGUUUUUAUACUUUUUCAUAUUGUAUCAUUUAAUGUAUUACAACAGAAAUGUAUUAGUAUAAUUUGAAGACAUUCAAUAAAUACAUUUUUUUAAAAAAGAUAAAAA
rnacentral:lncRNA from 1 species